GAUGAAGAACGCAGCGAAAUGCGAUAAGUAAUGCGAAUUGCAGAAUUCCGUGAGUCAUCGAAUCUUUGAACGCACAAUGCGCCCUCUGGUAUUCCGGAGGGCAUGCCUGUCUGAGCGUCAUUGUCAACCCUCAAGCUCAGCUUGCUGUUGGGUCCCCGUCGUUGCUUUAACGGCGGACCCGAAAGGUAAUGGCAGAGUCCGUGAGACCCUAGACGCAGCGAGCUUCUAGCACGCGUCUGGACGUUUUUCGGGCUCGGUCUUAACUAGAUGAUAACUUCCGAUUGACCUCAGAUCAGGUAGGGAUACCCGCUGAACUUAAGCAUAUCAAUAAGCGAGGA
rnacentral:misc_RNA from 1 species